AUUGAACGCUGGCGGCAGGCCUAACACAUGCAAGUCGAGCGAGCGGCGGACGGGCGAGUAAUGUAUGGGGACUGCCCGAUAGAGGGGGAUAACUACUGGAAACGGUGGCUAAUACCGCAUACUAUCGGAUGACCCAUAUGGGAUUAGCUAGUAGGUGGGGUAAAGGCACACCAAGGCGACGAUGUCUAGCGGGUCUGAGAGGGUGAUCGGCCACACUGGGACUGAGACACGGCCCAGACUCCUACGGAGGCAGCAGUAGGGAAUAUUACGCAAUGGGCGAAAGGCUGAUCGAGCAAUGCCGCGUGAGUGAAGAAGGCUUUAGGGUCGUAAAAUUCUUUCGGCAGGGAAGCGUUACCCACCGAGGAAGCACCGGCUAACUACGUGCCAGCAGCCGCGGUAAUUC
rnacentral:rRNA from 1 species